GACGGAGCACGCCGCGUGAGUGAUGAAGGCUUUCGGGUCGUAAAACUCUGUUGUUAGGGAAGAACAAGUGCUAGUUGAAUAAGCGGGCACCUUGACGGUACCUAACCAGAAAGCCACGGCUAACUWCGUUCCAGCAGCCGCGGUAAUACGUAGGUUGCAAGCGUUAUCCGGAAUUAUUGGGCGUAAAGCGCGCGCAGGUGGUUUCUUAAGUCUGAUGUGAAAGCCCACGGCUCAACCGUGGAGGGUCAUUGGAAACUGGGAGACUUGAGUGCAGAAGAGGAAAGUGGAAUUCCAUGUGUAGCGGUGAAAUGCGUAGAGAUAUGGAGGAACACCAGUGGCGAAGGUGACUUUCUGGUCUGUAACUGACACUGAGGCGCGAAAGCGUGGGGAGCAAACAGGAUUAGAUACCCUGGUAGUCCACGCCGUAAACGAUGAGUGCUAAGUGUUAGAGGGUUUCCGCCCUUUAGUGCUGAAGUUAACGCAUUAAGCACUCCGCCUGGGGAGUACGGCCGCAAGGCUGAAACUCAAAGG
rnacentral:rRNA from 1 species